rnacentral:snRNA from 1 species
GGAUGUGAGGGCGAUCUGGCUGCGACAUCUGUCACCCCAUUGAUCGCCAGGGUUGAUUCGGCUGAUCUGGCUGGCUAGGCGGGUUUCCCCUUCCUCCCUCACCGCUCCAUGUGCGUCCCUCCCGAAGCUGCGCGCUCGGUCGAAGAGGACGACCAUCCCCGAUAGAGGAGAGGACCGUUCUUCGGUCAAGGGUAUACGAGUAGCUGCGCUCCCCUGCUAGAACCUCCAAACAAGCUCUCAAGAAAGGAAAUCACCUGUAGUUUCUUCUUGUAGUACUUCUAUGCUUUACUUUACUUUUAUUUUAUAUUUAGAUUUCUAA